CAACCCUGGAAACGGUUCAGCCGGAGGUAGGGUCCAGCGGCCGGAAGAGCACCGCACGUCGCGCGGUGUCCGGUGCGCCCCCGGCGGCCCUUGAAAAUCCGGAGGAC
rnacentral:rRNA from 1 species